GCCCAAAUGGCGAAAUCGGUAGACGCGGCUGAUUCAAAAUCAGCUACCGAAAGGUGUGGGGGUUCGAGUCCCUCUUUGGGCACCA
rnacentral:tRNA from 1 species